ACCUUUGAUGCAGUAUCUGGUUCAUUUAAUUUUGUGCAAAAUUUUUGUUGGAUGUUUGAAACUUUCAUAUAAUAUGGAGUGAAAAAGUCAUAUCAUUUAAUAUCUUUUGUAUAAAGUAUGUGUCAUAUUAUUGAUUAUUUCUUUUUUAAACAUAUAACUUGUUUUAAUGUUUUUGACGUACAAAUUAGGAGUUCCAAGUAAAUAAAAAAAUGAGAGUUUUUAAUAUACUGACUGACUUUAAUAUACUGACUUGCAUAUAUUUUGACAAUUUGUUGAUAUGAUUUUAAGCACCAAAGCUACACAAGCCAUAUUAAACAGAGUUGUUUGAUACUGUGUAGAAAGAAUAUGACUGUAUUGAUUGAUAAGGCAAAAAAAUUUAUUGUUUCCUGUCCCCCGACAAAAAAAAUUAGGGUAGGUAGGAAACAAAAAAUAUUUUAAUUAUUUUUAAUUUUUUUUUAUUUUCAUAAACUUGGAGCAAGUGUGUAAUAAUGAGAGAAAUAAGUAUUUUCACAGUUUAUGAUACGUUAAUGAAGAUUUAAAAAUUCCAAAGGUCUUUGUGUUAUUGGUAGAUAUAAUGUAUAUCGCUAGUCAACAACAGGCAGUGAAUUUUUUUUUCAAUGAAAAAUAACCUAAUUUAUUUGCAAAAUUUAAUCUACAUGUCUAUGAAUGUAUUUUUGCCUUUUAUGAAUAAAUAUUUCUUUAUUGUGUUAGCUUAACGACAAUAUUUAUUAAAUCAGUCUCUGUACUUCUGUGUAUUUGGGGUAUUAGUCCAACCCUUUGACCCACUUACUACCGUAUGCUGUUUUGUUUACAAGAUAAUGUAAAAAACAGAUUUAUGGUAAUUUUAACAUUUAUUGCGGAGUGAUUAACCAAGAGCAGGUUAUAAAGUCACUAACAUCAGGAUUUAAUAAAAGUAAUAAUUUAAACAUCGGUUUUGUACAGUAUGCUGUUGCAUCACCCGGAUUUAUAACCCCUGAAGAUAAGAUUGUCCCAGUUUUUAACCUUAUGACAAGGUUAAUUUAUGCAGUAAAGAUGUCUGUAGAUUAGUUUACUAUCAUUCUUUUGCAAAUGAGGUUAAUUUACACGAUUGUGAACUCAGAAGUCUGAGAAACCUCACUUCUCUUUCUGAGGAAAUUCUGGCAAAGUUACAGUUCACAAUUAUGAUCACAAAAAUAAAAUUAGGGUCGGAGGGUAUAAGAUAGGGUCGGUCGGGCGACAGGAAACGGGAAUAUAUUUUUUUUUUGCCUAAGGCGGCUGUAGGAUUAACUACUGUAAUAUAUAUAAAUAUGGACUGAGAACAAAGUGUAAGUCAUAGACUGUCUUUGUAUAAUGUGUUCUACUCUGGACUGUAGCAAUGUAUGUUGACAUUUCGUAAAUGCAUGAAAGACAUUGUGUGUGCAAUACACACUGUAUAUAAUUGAUGAGAUUGUAUCCUAGUUUAUAUAUUUACAUUUACUUUCUUUCCCUCUAUUAAAUUGCAUUGGUUG
rnacentral:misc_RNA from 1 species